rnacentral:rRNA from 1 species
GAUGAACGCUGGCGGCGUGCUUAACACAUGCAAGUCGAACGAUGAAGCCCAGCUUGCUGGGUGGAUUAGUGGCGAACGGGUGAGUAACACGUGAGUAACCUGCCCUUGACUCUGGGAUAAGUCUGGGCAACUGGGUCUAAUACUGGAUAUGACUUCUCAUCGCAUGGUGGGGGGUGGAAAGAUUUAUUGGUCUUGGAUGGACUCGCGGCCUAUCAGCUUGUUGGUGAGGUAAUGGCUCACUAAGGCGACGACGGGUAGCCGGCCUGAGAGGGUGACCGGCCACACGGGGACUGAGAGACGGCCCAGACUCCUACGGGAGGCAGCAGUGGGGAAUAUUGCACAAUGGGCGCAAGCCUGAGACAGCGACGCCGCGUGAGGGAUGACGGCCUUCGGGUUGUAAACCUCUUUCAGUAGAGAAGAAGCGAGAGUGACGGUACCUGCAGAAGAAGCGCCGGCUAACUACGUG